rnacentral:rRNA from 1 species
CGGCGGACGGGUGAGUAACGCGUGGGCAACCUGCCUUCCACUGGGGGAUAACACAGGGAAACCUGUGCUAAUACCGCAUGACAUCACAUAGGGCAUCCUGUGUGAUCAAAGGAGUGAUCCGGUGGAAGAUGGGCCCGCGUCCGAUUAGCUAGUUGGUGAGGUAACGGCUCACCAAGGCGACGAUCGGUAGCCGGACUGAGAGGUUGGCCGGCCACAUUGGGACUGAGACACGGCCCAGACUCCUACGGGAGGCAGCAGUGGGGAAUAUUGCGCAAUGGGGGGAACCCUGACGCAGCGACGCCGCGUGAAGGAAGAAGGCCUUCGGGUUGUAAACUUCUUUGAUGAGGGACGAAGGAAGUGACGGUACUUCAAAAACAAGCCACGGCUAACUACGUGCCAGCAGCCGCGGUAAUACGUAGGUGGCGAGCGUUGUCCGGAAUUACUGGGUGUA